GGGAGUUUGCAGUAUAGCGGCUUUUCAUUGGCUGAGUUGUGACAGUCACUCGUUGGCUGAGCUGUUGCUGAGCAAGGAGAAAUCUCCUUUCUCCUUCUGAGGUAGUAAAGUAGGAUCACUUCCUACUGGAGAUGCAAGGCUAGGAACUGAUUGCUGCGUUCACCUGUGACCUCCCAGCUCCAGACAAUAGACUUGCCUCCUGCUACACCCACCAAGAUAGCAGACCCACUACCUGCUGUGUCCAUCAAGAGCUGUGCCAACAGGGCAAUCUUGGUUUGGAGAGCUUCUAGAUUGGUGAACACAUCCACGUGUCGGAAGGGUGGUGCACCCCAACUCCACGGGGACAGAAGCUUCUGUAUUCAGGACCCGGACCUUACCCUGUGUAUCUGUUCAUUUGGCUGCUCAUCUGUAUCGUUUAUCAUAUCCUUUAUUAUACAAUAAAUGGGUAAGCAUGUUUCCCUGAGUUCUGUGAGCCAUUCUAGCAAAUUAUUGAACCUGAGGAGGAGGUCGUGGGGACCCUGAUUUACAGAAGUAUAGGUGACAACCUGGGGCUUUCAAUUGGCAUGUGAGAUGGGAGCAAUCUUGUGGGACUGAGCCCUUACUUAACCUGUAGGAUCUGACACUAACUCCAGGUAGAUAGUAUCAGAACUGAAUUGAAU
rnacentral:lncRNA from 1 species